GGUUAUAUAGUGUAUUAGCACAAGUGAUUGCAAACCACUUAGAGGAACUUCAUAAUCCUAUAACCU
rnacentral:tRNA from 1 species